rnacentral:rRNA from 1 species
AUGAAUGCUGGCGGCGUGCCUAACACAUGCAAGUCGAGCGGCAGCGAGGGGUGCUUGCACCCUGUCGGCGAGCGGCGAACGGCUGAGUAACGCGUAGGAAUUUGCCCCAAAGUGAGGAAUAACUGCCCGAAAGGGUAGCUAAUGCCGCAUAUGGUCUUCGGAUUAAAGGAUUUAUCCGCUUUGGGAGAAGCCUGCGUUGGAUUAGGUUGUUGGUAGGGUAAUGGCCUACCAAGCCGACGAUCCAUAGCUGGUCGGAGAGGAUGAUCAGCCAGACUGGAACUGAGACACGGUCCAGACUCCUACGGGAGGCAGCAGUGAGGAAUCUUCCACAAUGGGCGAAAGCCUGAUGGAGCAACGCCGCGUGAAGGAUGAAGGCCUUCGGGUUGUAAACUUCUUUUAUGAGUGAAGAAUAUGACGGUAACUCAUGAAUAAGCACCGGCUAACUACGUG